rnacentral:rRNA from 1 species
AAUACGGGGGGAGCAAGCGUUGUUCGGAUUUACUGGGCGUAAAGGGCGCGUAGGCGGCCACCGCAAGUCGACUGUGAAAUCUCCGGGCUUAACCCGGAAAGGUCAGCCGAUACUGCGGGGCUAGAGUGCAGAAGGGGCAACUGGAAUUCUCGGUGUAGCGGUGAAAUGCGUAGAUAUCGAGAGGAACACCUGCGGCGAAGGCGGGUUGCUGGGCUGACACUGACGCUGAGGCGCGAAAGCUAGGGGAGCGAACGGGA